CCUACGGGAGGCAGCAGUGGGGGAUAUUGCACAAUGGGGGGAACCCUGAUGCAGCGACGCCGCGUGGGUGAAGAAGCGCCUCGGCGCGUAAAGCCCUUUCAGCAGGGAAGAAAAUGACGGUACCUGAAGAAGAAGCCCCGGCUAACGACGUGCCAGCAGCCGCGGUAAUACGUAGGGGGCAAGCGUUAUCCGGAUUUACUGGGUGUAAAGGGGGCGCAGACGGCGAUGCAAGCGAGGAGUGAAAGCCCGGGGGCCAACCCCGGGAGUGCUCUUGGAACUGCGUGGCUGGAGUGCAGGAGGGGCAGGCGGAAUGCCUGGUGUAGCGGUGAAAUGCGUAGAUAUCAGGAGGAACACCGGUGGCGAAGGCGGCCUGCUGGACUGCAACUGACGUUGAGGCCCGAAAGCGUGGGGAGCAAACAGGAUUAGAUACCCCAGUAGUC
rnacentral:rRNA from 1 species